rnacentral:miRNA from 10 species
GAUGAGUGGGAUUCUGUUCCAUG